CACUGUUUCGUCAAUGAAGUUGUCUCAUCAAGUGCCUGAUGAAGACACUUAAGGGAGGAAGAGUUGAUUCUGGAUGCUAUUGCUCACAUUCGGGGUAGUUCUUCAUCUUCAGCUUCUGAGAUGGGGGUCUCUCAAUUACUCUGGAACAUGCUAAUUCACUAGAUCUCCUGGCCAGUUAACUCCAGGGAUCCACUUGUCUCAGCCUCUACAGUUCUGAGCUUACAGUCCCACACUGUAGGUCCAGAGGGGUGUGGAACCCGCCACCACAUUGAGUGGUUGCUGCCACAUGGGUUAAACCCACAGGACUUAACAUCGGCCCGACAAGUCUACCUGUUACACACUUUCCGGUCAUCAGAUUGUUUCUCUCCAUCCAAACACCAGUGAUUUGACCCUGACCUGAACCUGCCAACUCCUUAAUGUCACCCAACCUGGCCACUUUAAAGAUUGCUGGCUAUGUAUACCCCCUGGAAUUUACUCACAAUUGCCACUUACUGCUUCUCCAGUGACCCUGUCAAGUAAUCCUGCUUCACCUUUCAUCAGCUGCUCCAACUCUGGUGUUGCCAGGACCCCAUACCUUUUCUCUAUAUCUUUUUUUUGGCAUGACAGACUGUUUUAAGGCAUUCUGUAGGAAUACUAAGCUCUCUAGACUGCUACAGAACCAUAACCCUUGAUACCUCAUCUCUGCCACAGUUCCCUACAGUCCAAAAUAUGUCAAUUCUCUUUGGUUCUCUUUGGUAUAUCAUCAU